rnacentral:ncRNA from 1 species
GGAGAUAGAGGACGCGACACGGAAUAGUAACGCGCGGUAGGUUGCCACACCAGCGACCGCACGUGAAAGGCCCUGUUGCCGAAGGGGAUGCGCGGUGGAGCAUCCGCCUGGUCUCAACGGCGAAUAGCCUUGCGACUGUCAUCAUCGCGGUAUGAUGGAGAGCUAUCA